rnacentral:misc_RNA from 1 species
UACGUAGGUGGCAAGCGUUGUCCGGAAUUAUUGGGCGUAAAGCGCGCGCAGGCGGUCUCUUAAGUCUGAUGUGAAAGCCCACGGCUCAACCGUGGAGGGUCAUUGGAAACUACACAGCUAGAGUAUGGGAGAGGAUGGUAGAAUUCCAGGUGUAGCGGUGAAAUGCGUAGAGAUCUGGAGGAAUACCGAUGGCGAAGGCAGCCAUCUGGCCUAAUACUGACGCUGAGGUACGAAAGCAUGGGGAGCAAACAGG